rnacentral:sRNA from 1 species
GCCGGGCAUGGUGGCUCACGCCUGUCAUCCCAGCAGCUCGGAAGGCUGAGACAGGAGGAUGGCAAGUUCAAAGCCAGCCUCAGCAAUGGUGGGGCGCUAAACAACUCAGUGAGACCCUGUCUCUA